rnacentral:rRNA from 1 species
GGAUUAGAAACCCUGGUAGUCCUGGCCCUAAACGAUGAAUACUUGGUGUCUGGAGUUUUAAUUCUCCGGGUGCCGUCGCUAACGUUUUUAGUAUCCCGCCUGGGGAGUACGUACGCGAGUGUGAAACUCAAAGGAAUUGACGGGGACCCGCACAAGCGGCGGAGCAUAUGGCUUAAUUCGAUGCAACGCGAAGAACCUUACCAGGGCUUGACAUGGAUCUGCAAGCUCGUGAAAGCGAGUCGCUUUCGAAGGUGAUUCACGGGUGGUGCAUGGCUGUCGUCAGCUCGUGUUGUGAAAUGUUGGGUUAAGUCCCG